rnacentral:rRNA from 1 species
GCUGGCGGCAUGCUUAACACAUGCAAGUCGAACGGUAACAGCGGGAGCUUGCUCCCGGCUGACGAGCUGGCGGACGGGUGAGUAACGCGUAGGAAUCUGCCCAGUAGUGGGGGACAACCCGGGGAAACUCGGGCUAAUACCGCAUACGCCCUACGGGGGAAAGAUGGCCUCUCCUUGGAAGCUGUCACUAUUGGAUGAGCCUGCGUCGGAUUAGCUAGUUGGUAGGGUAAAGGCCUACCAAGGCGACGAUCCGUAGCUGGUCUGAGAGGACGACCAGCCACACUGGGACUGAGACACGGCCCAGACUCCUACGGGAGGCAGCAGUGGGGAAUAUUGCACAAUGGGGGCAACCCUGAUGCAGCAAUGCCGCGUGUGUGAAGAAGGCCUGCGGGUUGUAAAGCACUUUCAAUGGGGAAGAAAAGGUGAGGGUGAAUAGCCCUUGCUCUUGACGUUACCUUUAGAAGAAGCACCGGCUAACUCCGUGCCAGCAGCCGCGGUAAUACGGAGGGUGCGAGCGUUAAUCGGAAUUACUGGGCGUAAAGCGCGCGUAGGCGGUUUGUUAAGUCAGAUGUGAAAGCCCUGGGCUCAACCUGGGAACUGCAUUUGAUACUGU